UUCACACACUCUCCGUUAAAUCACUCUUAGUUAGGAUUUUUUAAUUAGGGUUUCUGAAUCUAAGGUUUUUAAUUUAGGGUUUAUGAUGAUUGUUGUUGUUACAGGUGAUUAAAGGCUUUGGACCAGUUCUCUCACUCUACAGGUGAUUAGAGUUUGUGUUUUUUUUGCUUAUAUUGUUGUUGUUUCGAUGAAUCUCUUUGUUCUCUCUAACUCUCUAACUUAAAAACUUGAUUUGUGCAUAAUAUUUGAUUACUUUGGGUUGAUCUUUGGAAACUGGAAUGUGACUUUUGCUACCCCUGCAUGAACCGUGAUUUUUGGAACUUAGUUGCAGGUGAUAUUUCAGUUCUCAUAUCAGUGGCUAGUCUUGCCUUGGCAAAUUAAACAAAUAAGAUGGAUCAACGUCAAAGUAGCACGGAAAGAGUCUUAGAGCAAGAGCAAUGCAAUUGAAGCUCUACUAAAUGCCUUGAAUGAUGAGACUCAGAGAUUACAAGAACAAGUAUAUUUUGGACAAAUAAAAUCUCACACUGAUCAAUGGAUGAUUUGAAGCCCGUGACACAUCUUUUUGCCGUUGACAUCACUUUAGCGAGUGGGAUUAAGUUACUUCGCCAAGGCUUCAAU